UAAUAAGUGUUUUAUGGCACUUUUUAAAUCCAUAUCCACCUUGUGUGCAAUGUCAGUCGAUCCUCUUCAUGGAGAUCGACCAAACAUCAACCUUUAUUUUUUUAACUCUUUGUCUGAAAAAUAUUAUGAAUAAACAAUUCAAAAUA
rnacentral:misc_RNA from 1 species